rnacentral:rRNA from 1 species
AAGGGCACCACAAGAACGCGUGGAGCAUGUGGCUUAAUUUGACCCAACGCGGGAAAUCUUACCGGGUCCGGACACACUGAGGAUUGACAGGCGCUUUGUGGUUCACUUUUUUAAAGUGUUCUACUAUAAAUAUGCUAGUCCUUUCAUGAUUGUGUGAUAGGUGGUGCAUGGCCGUUCUUAGUUCGUGGAGUGAUCUGUCUGCUUAAUUGCGUUUCACAAAGGGCUUCUUAACUUCCGCUAGUUGCACGGCGUCACCUUCGUGUGUCGUCUGCUGCGCUUCGGAUUAGAAGCUCUGAAGGCAACGAACGUGACC